rnacentral:rRNA from 1 species
GACGAACGCUGGCGGCGUGCUUAACACAUGCAAGUCGAACGGAAAGGCCCUGCUUGCAGGGUACUCGAGUGGCGAACGGGUGAGUAACACGUGGGUGAUCUGCCCUGCACUUCGGGAUAAGCUUGGGAAACUGGGUCUAAUACCGGAUAGGAGCCAUCUUUAGUGUGGUGGUUGGAAAGUUUUUUCGGUGUAGGAUGAGCUCGCGGCCUAUCAGCUUGUUGGUGGGGUAAUGGCCUACCAAGGCGGCUACGGGUAGCCGGCCUGAGAGGGUGUACGGCCACAUUGGGACUGAGAUACGGCCCAGACUCCUACGGGAGGCAGCAGUGGGGAAUAUUGCACGAUGGGCGCAAGCCUGAUGCAGCGACGCCGCGUGGGGGAUGAAGGCCUUCGGGUUGUAAACUCCUUUCGCUAGGGACGAAGCUUUUUGUGACGGUACCUAGAUAAGAAGCACCGGCUAACUACGUG